CAGCAGCUAAAAUGAAAAAAAAAAGUCACUUUAUUGGGAAAAGUUUGUUAUAGAAGCAAACUAAUCGAUCACUGGUGACUGUUUUUCUUUUAGCAAAGGAAAAAGACUUCAUUAAUUGACGUAUACUUGCUACUGUUUGGUCCUACUUACAGAAAUUCCUCUAAUUUACAGGGGCAGGUUAUUGUGCAUACCACAGUAUAGCUUGGAUUUGUAAUUUCAAUACUAAUGCAUAUUCAUCCCAUGUGCUCUUUAUAGUUUCUUAUGUCAAUUAGUUACUUUCUUCUGGGAUUUAGUGUUUUGUCUUGGAUUUUAUAGAAAUGUAUAUAUACUUUUAGAAGGUACAGGGAAUAGAUGAAAUUAACUUUAGAAUUAUAUAAUUUAUCUGAUAUAAGUGCAUGUAUAGCCUAAAUAUAUUUCUAUAUUGAAAGAUAUAAUCUACCACUCACUUACCAGUUUGAUUUAAAAAAUAACUAUUCAUGUCAGCUAUAUAAAUUUUUUAAUGUAAAAAAACUAUAAAAAUAAUUUAAAGUCUGUGCUUACUGAAAUAGUCUAUAUAGCCAUUAAUCCCUACACUAGAAAAAAAAUCAUAUAGCUUCAGUUUCCCUAGAAUGGACUAUCUAAUUCUUUUAAAAAGUACCAAGACUAAACAUGUAAACAUCAAGGCCAUAGCUGACUGGGCUGUAGUGAAAAUGGACGAUAUCAUUCUACCUGUUUUCCCUGUUGAUAUGGCUUCUAAAUGUGACACAAGUAU
rnacentral:lncRNA from 1 species